AAUAAGUGCAGUUUUAGCACUGUUCAUGUUCCACGUUUAACCGUUCGUCUUAUUUAAAAAAGAUUAUGAUUAGAAUUUUUAUUGUUAUUAGAUGAUAAAACAUGAAUAGUACUUUAUGUGUGACUAAAUUUUUUAAUAUUUUUUUAUAAAUUUUUCAAAUAAGACGGAUGGUCAAAACGCUAAACACGAAUAUCUAUGACUUUACUUAUU
rfam:Oryza glumipatula chromosome 4, whole genome shotgun sequence.